rnacentral:rRNA from 1 species
UACGGAGGUGGCAAGCGUUGCUCGGAAUUACUGGGCUUAAAGAGUUCGUAGGCGGUUCGACAAGUGAGGUGUGAAAGCCCUCGGCUUAACCGAGGAAAUGCCCUUCAAACUGUCGGGCUCGAGGGAGAUAGAGGUGAGCGGAACUGAUGGUGGAGCGGUGAAAUGCGUUGAUAUCAUCAGGAACACCAGAGGCGAAGGCGGCUCACUGGGUCUCUUCUGACGCCGAGGAACGAAAGCUAGGGGAGCAAACGGG